rnacentral:rRNA from 1 species
UACGGAGGGAGCGAGCGUUGUUCGGAAUCACUGGGCGUAAAGCGUACGUAGGCGGUCCUGCAAGUCAGGAGUGAAAGCCCAGGGCUUAACCCUGGAACUGCUCUUGAAACUGCAAGACUAGAGUCCCGGAGAGGUUGGCGGAAUUCCGAGUGUAGAGGUGAAAUUCGCAGAUAUUCGGAGGAACACCAGUGGCGAAAGCGGCCAACUGGACGGGAACUGACGCUGAGGUACGAAAGCGUGGGGAGCAAAC